rnacentral:rRNA from 1 species
GCACCCGCGGUAAUUCCAGCUCCAAUAGCGUAUACUAAUGUUGUUGCAGUUAAAAAGCUCGUAGUCGGAUUUCAGUAGGCUCAGUUAAGUCUCUUCUAUUGAGUUCUUUAUGGGCCUGCUUCUUUGACAGAAACUUCUAUGUUAUUCAUUUAGCGUGGGUAGCGACUGUCUCUUUUACUUUGAGAAAAUUAGAGUGUUCAAAGCAGGUAUUCGCCUGAAUAUUACUCUUGGAAUAAUGCUAUAAGACUUUGGUUCUAAUGUAUUGGUGAUUGGGACCAGAGUAAUGAUUGAUAGGGACGGUUGGGGUCUUACGUACUGCAAAGCGAGAGGUGAAAUUCUUGGACCUUUGUAUGACGAACAACUGCGAAAGCAUUGGACUAGGACGUUCCCGUCGAUCAAGAACGAAAGU